GACGAACGCUGGCGGCGUGCUUAACACAUGCAAGUCGAACGGUGAAAGCGGAGCUUGCUCCGCUGGAUCAGUGGCGAACGGGUGAGUAACACGUGGGCAACCUGCCCCUUACUUCGGGAUAACUCCGGGAAACCGGGGCUAAUACCGGAUAUGACCUCCUUGGGCAUCCUUGGAGGUGGAAAGUUUUUCGGUGAGCGAUGGGCCCGCGGCCUAUCAGCUUGUUGGUGAGGUAGUGGCGCACCAAGGCGACGACGGGUAGCCGGCCUGAGAGGGCGACCGGCCACACUGGGACUGAGACACGGCCCAGACUCCUACGGGAGGCAGCAGUGGGGAAUAUUGCGCAAUGGGCGAAAGCCUGACGCAGCAACGCCGCGUGCGGGAUGACGGCCUUCGGGUUGUAAACCGCUUUCAGCAGGGAAGAAGCCGCAAGGUGACGGUACCUGCAGAAGAAGCACCGGCUAACUACGUGCCAGCCGCCGCUGUAA
rnacentral:rRNA from 1 species